rnacentral:tRNA from 1 species
GUCAGGAUGGCCGAGUGGUCUAAGGCGCCAGACUCAAGGUUCAUUACCUUCCGUAAAGCGGGCAUUCUGGUCUCCGAAUGGAGGCGUGGGUUCGAAUCCCACUUCUGACA